rnacentral:rRNA from 1 species
AUAUUGGACAAUGGGGGCAACCCUGAUCCAGCCAUGCCGCGUGUGUGAAGAAGGUCGUCGGAUUGUCAGGCACUUUAAGUUGGGAGGAAGGGCAGUAAGUUAAUACCUUGCUGUUUUGACGUUACCGUCAGAAUAAGCACCGGCUAACUUCGUUCCAGCAGCCGCGGUAAUACGAAGGGUGCAAGCGUUAAUCGGAAUUACUGGGCGUAAAGCGCGCGUAGGUGGUUUGUUAAGUAGGAAGUGAAAGACACGGGCUCAACCAGGGAACGACUUUCAACACUAGCAAGCUAGAGUAUGGGAGAGGGUGGUGGAAUUUCCUGUGUAGCGGUGAAAUGCGUAGAUAUAGGAAGGAACACCAGUGGCGAAGGCGACUACCUGGACUGAUACUGACACUGAGGAGCGAAAGCGUGGGGAGCAAAC